CCAAUAGCGUAUAUUAAAGUUGUUGCAGUUAAAAAGCUCGUAGUUGAAUUUCGGGAUCAAUAUAUCGGUCGUGCCAUUGGUACGUACUGGUAUCAUUGGUUUCUCCUUUCUGACGAACCAUGAUGUCAUUAAUUUGGUGUUAUGGGAAGUUAGGACUGUUACUUUGAAAAAAUUAGAGUGUUUAAAGCAGGCUUUAGCUUGAAUACAUUAGCAUGGAAUAAUGAAAUAGGACGUUCGAACCUAUUUUGUUGGUUUCUAGGAUCAACGUAAUGAUUAAUAGGGAUAGUUGGGGGCAUUAGUAUUCAAUUGUCCGAGGUGAAAUUCUUGGAUUUAUUGAAGACUAACUACUGCGAAAGCAUUUGCCAAGGAUGUUUUCAUUAAUCAAGAACGAAAGUUAGGGGAUCGAAGACGAUCAGAUACCGUCGUAGUCUUAACCAUAAACUAUGCCGACUAGGGAUCGGAUGAUGUUAAUUUUUUAAUGACUCAUUCGGCGCCUUACG
rnacentral:misc_RNA from 1 species